rnacentral:lncRNA from 1 species
AAAAAAAUAUAAAUAAAAAUAAAAUAAAAUAAAAUAUAAAAAAACAAAACAAAACAAAAUAAAAUAAAAUAUAAAAAAACAAAACAAAAUAAAAUAACACGAAAUCAAAUCAAAUUAAAUCAAAUAACAACAAAUAAAAUAAAAUCAAAUCAAAUAAAUAAAAAAAAAAUGAAACACUCAAACUGUAUUUCCUUUUUCUUCCUAUGAUCGUUCUUUAGGUGAGGAGGGACUUUUUCAUAUGAUUUUUUCUUUUUGCUUUCAUCCUUCCUCUCUCUCUUUUUCUCUUUGGGAUACUCCUUAAGGCACAAAGGACUUUUCUUUUAUCUCUCAACCUUCUCUUUUUCUUCCUCUACAUCCUUCUCCUUUUCUCUCAAACAUUCUUUUUCUUCUCUCUCAUCUUCUUCAUUUUCUACCUCUUUCUCUUUCUCACUCAAACUUUCUUCUUCUUCUCUCUCUAUUUUUAUCUCAUCCUCUUUCUCUUCUUCUUCUUGAUCUCUAUCGCUCAAACUCUCUUCUUUUCUCUCUAUUUUUCUCACGUUGUUUUCUCGUUCUUGUCGCUUGGGCUUCGGGUUUUCCAUCUUCUUGGUGCUUUUUUGACCCCUUUUGAGCUCCAUCUUCUAUACUUUUCACUUCUUCUUCCAGCAUUGCUUCAAUCUCUGCCAAAACAAGGGGAAUUUGUUAGAAAACUGUUGAAAUCAACCUCAACUCUCUUAUUCACACAAUUUAUUGA